UCCAGACUCCUACGGGAGGCAGCAGUGGGGAAUAUUGGACAAUGGGGGGAACCCUGAUCCAGCGACGCCGCGUGAGUGAAGAAGUAUUUCGGUAUGUAAAGCUCUAUCAGCAGGGAAGAAAGAAAUGACGGUACCUGACUAAGAAGCCCCGGCUAACUACGUGCCAGCAGCCGCGGUAAUACGUAGGGGGCAAGCGUUAUCCGGAUUUACUGGGUGUAAAGGGAGCGUAGACGGCGAUGCAAGUCUGAAGUGAAAGGCGGGGGCCCAACCCCCGGACUGCUUUGGAAACUGUGCGGCUUGAGUGCGGGAGGGGCAGGCGGAAUUCCUAGUGUAGCGGUGAAAUGCGUAGAUAUUAGGAGGAACACCGGCGGCGAAGGCGGCCUGCUGGACCGUAACUGACGUUGAGGCUCGAAAGCGUGGGGAGCAAACAGGAUUAGAUACCCGAGUA
rnacentral:rRNA from 1 species